rnacentral:misc_RNA from 1 species
UCCGAGUUGACCCCGGCAGUCUCCUGCGAGUCCUCGCCAUUACGCGCUGGCAACACAGGACAAGGGUUGCGCUCGUUGCGGGACUUAACCCAACAUCUCACGACACGAGCUGACGACAACCAUGCACCACCUGUCACUCGCCCCGAAGGACCCCCUAUCUCUAGAGGUAAACGAGUGAUGUCAAACCCAGGUAAGGUUCUUCGCGUUGCAUCGAAUUAAGCCGCGUGCUCCGCCGCUUGUGCGGGCCCCCGUCAAUUCCUUUGAGUUUUAGCCUUGCGGCCGUACUCCCCAGGCGGGGCGCUUAAUGCGUUAGCUACGGCACAGAGACCGUGAACCAGUCCCCACACCUAGCGCCCAACGUUUGCGGCGUGGACUAC